AUUUCGUGAUCAAUAAAAUUAUGACUUUAAAUACAUUGCCUUGGUAAUGUUAUUGAGUAGAUUUAUUCUAUAGCAAGAUUGAGCUGUACAUAAUGGAUGUAACAUUGCUCUCUCAUAUGAAGCACUCGGCUAUCAAAUGAUUUUUGCAUCAUUUUAUUCUGGAUUAAAAAGAUAUGAAUGAAGAUAGAAAGCAAUGGUCCUACCUUUGCUCCGGAUUGCAUCAAGAAGCAGACGACUAUAGUUCUGCAACAUCUUUAGUGCAACCUGG